rnacentral:rRNA from 1 species
AUUGAACGCUGGCGGCAUGCCUUACACAUGCAAGUCGAACGGUAACGGGCCUUCGGGUGCCGACGAGUGGCGAACGGGUGAGUAAUGUAUCGGAACGUACCUUUCAGUGGGGGAUAACGUAGCGAAAGUUACGCUAAUACCGCAUAUUCUGUGCGCAGGAAAGCAGGGGAUCGCAAGACCUUGCGCUGAUUGAGCGGCCGAUAUCAGAUUAGCUAGUUGGUGAGGUAAAGGCUCACCAAGGCGACGAUCUGUAGCGGGUCUGAGAGGAUGAUCCGCCACACUGGAACUGAGACACGGUCCAGACUCCUACGGGAGGCAGCAGUGGGGAAUUUUGGACAAUGGGGGCAACCCUGAUCCAGCCAUGCCGCGUGAGUGAAGAAGGCCUUCGGGUUGUAAAGCUCUUUCGGCCGGGAAGAAAUCGUAUGGGUUAAUACCCUGUGCGGAUGACGGUACCGGCAUAAGAAGCACCGGCUAACUACGUG